GAGUCAGUGGGAUUUUGAAGGACACUUCUGCUGUGGCUUCUGUUCCUUAGCACAGUUUGUCUGGCAUUGGAUUUUCUGGUAAUAAGAGCUGUAUUUCUUCUUAAGCUUUGCAAGUGAGAACAGCAGAUUGGAAGGCACUGUCCAGCAGCCAAGCGAGAGCGUUGAAGCCCUUCCGAGAGCCCUGCAAGCCUCUGCCUCAGGUGGUGAACUUUCCCAGCAGCUGGACAUGGAGCCUGGAACAGGCAUGCAGCUCGAGGCCCUAAACCAGGCUUUGCAAGAAGAGCUGUCCACUCUGCUUGGGAAGUGUGAACAACUGGAGAAGAGCAAAUGUCAGCUGCAAGAAGAGGUGACAAAACUCCACCACCAUUUGGAGACUUUGGUGCUGGAUGGCAGCCAAAGAGAACAGUGUACAAGAGAGGUGGCAGAAGGAGCUGACCAGGAAAGAAGUCCAAAGCUACAAGAGGUCAGCCUCGUUUUGCAAGCACAGGCAGCCCACCAGGCCCCACUAGGAC